AGCAUAUAAGUAAGCGGAGGAAGAGAAACUAAAUAGGAUUCCCUCAGUAAUGGCGAACGAACAGGGAAGAGCUCAGAUUGGAUAUCGGGGCCUGUGGCUCCGAAUUGUAGUCUCGAAAUGCAAUGCCAUCGGGGGCGCAGAUUUAAGCCUCUUGGAAGAGAGCGCCGGCGAGGGUGAGAGUCCCGUUCGUCAAUUUGCAGUCCUCCGUACACGGCUUGCACUUGUUGAGUCACGUUCCUCGGGAUUGGAGCGCAAAUAGGGUGGUAAAUUUCAUCUAAAGCUAAAUAUAUGUUUGAGACCGAUAGCACACAAGUACCAUGAGGGAAAGAUGAAAAGGACUUUGAAAAGAGAGUUAAAAGUGCCUGAAAUUGCUGCAAGGGAAGCGGAUGGAACCAGUCCACGCGGUGAGAUUGUUGGGCGGAGGCGUGCGGGGUUGCACUUUCAACGAAAGUGGGGGUGUGAGUCUCAAUCGCCUUUCGCCUGAUGGUUCUUGCCGUGGGGGUCAUUGGUGAUUGGCAGCCGGGGAAACCUUCAAAGGCAUGGUAGCCCGUCUCCGGAUGGGUGAACGCGUUUGAUAGCACUCGGCCGCUGAUCAUAUCCGAGGUGUCCGGUAACUGGCGGCCUUGAGCGCAACGCGAGAACCAAUCGGUUCUUGCUGCGCGUUCGGCCGUAGGUCCUGACACACAUCUACGACCAAAUGGUUCUUUCCGACCCGUCUUGAAACACGGACCAAGGAGUCUAGCAUAUGUGCGAGUGCUUGGGCUGCAAACCCGUGCGCGCAACGAAAGUGACUGCUGGGAUGUUUGCACCAGCAACCGACUGAUCAAUUGCGAGACGUUUGAGUGUGAGCAUAUCUGCUAGGACCCGAAAGAUGGUGAACUAUGCCUGUGAAGAGCGAACCCAGGGGAAACUCUGGUGGAGGCUCGUAGCGAUACUGACGUGCAAAUCGUUCGUCAUACAUGGGUAUAGGGGCGAAAGACUAAUCGAACCAUCUAGUAGCUGGUUCCCUCCGAAGUUUCCCUCAGGAUAGCUGGAGUUGAUCAGUUUUAUCAGGUAAAGCGAAUGAUUAGAGGAAUUGGGGGCGCGUUGUCUUCGACCUAUUCUCAAACUUUAAAUGGGUAAGAUCGAUUAGUUACUUAAUUGAACUUUUCGGACAAAUGUCAACUCCAAGUGGGCCGUUUUUGGUAAGCAGGACUGGCGAUGAGGGAUGAACCUAACGUUCGGAUAAAGUGCUUAACUGCUCGCUCAUCAGAUACCAUAAAGGGUGUUGGUUCAUUUUAACAGCAGGACGGUGGUCAUGGAAGUCGAAAUCCGCUAAGGAGUGUGUAACAACUCACCUGCCGAAUGGACUAGCCCCGAAAAUGGAUGGCGCUUAAGCGGGCGACUGAUACCGAACCAUUGUUGCAAUUAUGCUGCAUCAAUGAGUAGGAGGGCAUUGAGGUUGUGGUGAAGCUCUUGGGGUAAUCCUGAGUGAAACAGCCUCUAGUGCAGAUCUUG
rnacentral:rRNA from 1 species